rnacentral:rRNA from 1 species
GAUGAACGCUGGCGGCGUGCCUAAUACAUGCAAGUCGAGCGAACAGACGAGGAGCUUGCUCCUCUGACGUUAGCGGCGGACGGGUGAGUAACACGUGGAUAACCUACCUAUAAGACUGGGAUAACUUCGGGAAACCGGAGCUAAUACCGGAUAAUAUAUUGAACCGCAUGGUUCAAUAGUGAAAGACGGUUUUGCUGUCACUUAUAGAUGGAUCCGCGCCGCAUUAGCUAGUUGGUAAGGUAACGGCUUACCAAGGCAACGAUGCGUAGCCGACCUGAGAGGGUGAUCGGCCACACUGGAACUGAGACACGGUCCAGACUCCUACGGGAGGCAGCAGUAGGGAAUCUUCCGCAAUGGGCGAAAGCCUGACGGAGCAACGCCGCGUGAGUGGUGAAGGUCUUCGGAUCGUAAAACUCUGUUAUUAGGGAAGAACAAAUGUGUAAGUAACUAUGCACGUCUUGACGGUACCUAAUCAGAAAGCCACGGCUAACUACGU